rnacentral:rRNA from 1 species
UACGUAGGGGGCAAGCGUUGUCCGGAAUCAUUGGGCGUAAAGAGCGUGUAGGCGGCCCGGUAAGUCCGCUGUGAAAGUCCAGGGCUCAACCCUGGGAUGCCGGUGGAUACUGUCGGGCUCGAGUCCGGAAGAGGAGUGUGGAAUUCCUGGUGUAGCGGUGAAAUGCGCAGAUAUCAGGAGGAACACCACUGGCGAAGGCAGAACUCUGGGACGUGACUGACGCUGAGACGCGAAAGCGUGGGGAGCGAACAGG